UUGCCAAUGAAAUAAUGCCAAAAAAAAAAAAAACUCAUUACAUUAGAUAGUCAAAGGUAAUGAUUUUGUCUCUUUUUGGACUGCCAAAUGUACUGAUUUUCUGUCUUUUUUGGCACAAUUUCAUUGGCAACC